rnacentral:rRNA from 1 species
UAACGCGUGGGAAUCUGCCCUUAGGUACGGAAUAACUCAGGGAAACUUGAGCUAAUACCGUAUAAUGACUCCGGUCCAAAGAUUUAUCGCCUGAGGAUGAGCCCGCGUCGGAUUAGCUAGUUGGUGAGGUAAGAGCUCACCAAGGCGACGAUCCGUAGGUGGUCUGAGAGGAUGAUCAGCCCCACUGGGACUGAGACACGGCCCAGACUCCUACGGGAGGCAGCAGUGGGGAAUAUUGGCCAAUGGGCGAAAGCCUGAUCCAGCAAUGCCGCGUUGGUGAUGAAGGCCUUAGGGUUGU